rnacentral:rRNA from 1 species
GAUGAACGCUAGCGGCGUGCCUAAUACAUGCAAGUCGAGCGAACGGACGAGAAGCUUGCUUCUCUGAUGUUAGCGGCGGACGGGUGAGUAACACGUGGAUAACCUACCUAUAAGACUGGGAUAACUUCGGGAAACCGGAGCUAAUACCGGAUGAUAUUUUGAACCGCAUGGUUCAAAAGUGAAAGACGGUCUUGCCGUCACUUAUAGAUGGAUCCGCGCUGCAUUAGCUAGUUGGUAAGGUAACGGCUUACCAAGGCAACGAUGCAUAGCCGACCUGAGAGGGUGAUCGGCAACACUGGAACUGAGACACGGUCCAGACUCCUACGGGAGGAAGCAGUAGGGAAUCUUCCGCAAUGGGCGAAAGCCUGACGGAGCAACGCCGCGUGAGUGAUGAAGGUCUUCGGAUCGUAAAACUCUGUUAUUAGGGAAGAACAUAUGUGUAAGUAACUGUGCACAUCUUGACGGUACCUAAUCAGAAAGCCACGGCUAACUACGUG